CGUAUCACUUAAAGCGAUUCAGCGGGUUACGAUUGACGGAGCGAAGCGACGUCAAAGCGUAUACAAAGUCGAGUCGGUUUAAGGAUACGUUCGUUGGGUAGGGGAGCGUUCUGUAAGCCUGUGAAGGUGUGUCGUGAGGCAUGCUGGAGGUAUCAGAAGUGCGAAUGCUGACAUAAGUAACGAUAAAGCGGGUGAAAAGCCCGCUCGCCGGAAGACCAAGGGUUCCUGUCCAACGUUAAUCGGGGCAGGGUGAGUCGACCCCUAAGGCGAGGCCGAAAGGCGUAGUCGAUGGGAAACGGGUUAAUAUUCCCGUACUUGGUGUUACUGCGAAGGGGGGACGGAGAAGGCUAUGUUGGCCGGGCGACGGUUGUCCCGGUUUAAGCGUGUAGGUGUGUGUUCCAGGUAAAUCCGGUUCACUUUAACACUGAGGCGUGAUGACGAGGCACUACGGUGCUGAAGCAACAAAUGCCCUGCUUCCAGGAAAAGCCUCUAAGCAUCAGGUAACAUCAAAUCGUACCCCAAACCGACACAGGUGGUCAGGUAGAGAAUACCAAGGCGCUUGAGAGAACUCGGGUGAAGGAACUAGGCAAAAUGGUGCCGUAACUUCGGGAGAAGGCACGCUGACACGUAGGUGAAGUGAUUUACUCAUGGAGCUGAAGUCAGUCGAAGAUACCAGCUGGCUGCAACUGUUUAUUAAAAACACAGCACUGUGCAAACACGAAAGUGGACGUAUACGGUGUGACGCCUGCCCGGUGCCGGAAGGUUAAUUGAUGGGGUCAGCGCAAGCGAAGCUCCUGAUCGAAGCCCCGGUAAACGGCGGCCGUAACUAUAACGGUCCUAAGGUAGCGAAAUUCCUUGUCGGGUAAGUUCCGACCUGCACGAAUGGCGUAAUGAUGGCCAGGCUGUCUCCACCCGAGACUCAGUGAAAUUGAACUCGCUGUGAAGAUGCAGUGUACCCGCGGCAAGACGGAAAGACCCCGUGAACCUUUACUAUAGCUUGACACUGAACAUUGAGCCUUGAUGUGUAGGAUAGGUGGGAGGCUUUGAAGUGUGGACGCCAGUCUGCAUGGAGCCGACCUUGAAAUACCACCCUUUAAUGUUUGAUGUUCUAACGUGGACCCGUGAUCCGGGUUGCGGACAGUGUCUGGUGGGUAGUUUGACUGGGGCGGUCUCCUCCUAAAGAGUAACGGAGGAGCACGAAGGUUGGCUAAUCCUGGUCGGACAUCAGGAGGUUAGUGCAAUGGCAUAAGCCAGCUUGACUGCGAGCGUGACGGCGCGAGCAGGUGCGAAAGCAGGUCAUAGUGAUCCGGUGGUUCUGAAUGGAAGGGCCAUCGCUCAACGGAUAAAAGGUACUCCGGGGAUAACAGGCUGAUACCGCCCAAGAGUUCAUAUCGACGGCGGUGUUUGGCACCUCGAUGUCGGCUCAUCACAUCCUGGGGCUGAAGUAGGUCCCAAGGGUAUGGCUGUUCGCCAUUUAAAGUGGUACGCGAGCUGGGUUUAGAACGUCGUGAGACAGUUCGGUCCCUAUCUGCCGUGGGCGCUGGAGAACUGAGGGGGGCUGCUCCUAGUACGAGAGGACCGGAGUGGACGCAUCACUGGUGUUCGGGUUGUCAUGCCAAUGGCACUGCCCGGUAGCUAAAUGCGGAAGAGAUAAGUGCUGAAAGCAUCUAAGCACGAAACUUGCCCCGAG
rnacentral:rRNA from 1 species